rnacentral:rRNA from 1 species
ACGCUCGACACCUACGGGAAGGCAGCAGUGGGGAAUAUUGCACAAUGGGGGAAACCCUGAUGCAGCGACGCCGCGUGGAGGAAGAAGGUCUUCGGAUUGUAAACUCCCGUUGUUGGGGAAAAAGAGGAUGGUACCCAACAAGGAAGUGACGGCUAACUACGUGGCAGCAGCCGCGGUAAUCUGAGCGGGCUGGCAAGGC